GACGAACGCUGGCGGCGUGCCUAAUACAUGCGAGUAGAACGCACAGUUUAUACCGUAGCUUGCUACACCAUAGACUGUGAGUUGCGAACGGGUGAGUAACGCGUAGGUAACCUGCCUGGUAGCGGGGGAUAACUAUUGGAAACGAUAGCUAAUACCGCAUAAUAUUAAUUAUUGCAUGAUAAUUAAUUGAAAGGUGCAAUUGCACCACUACCAGAUGGACCUGCGUUGUAUUAGCUAGUAGGUGAGGUAACGGCUCACCUAGGCGACGAUACAUAGCCGACCGGGGAGGGUGAUCGGCCACACUGGGACUGAGACACGGCCCAGACUCCCACGGGAGGCAGCAGUAGGGAAUCUUCGGCAAUGGACGAAAGUCUGACCGAGCAACGCCGCGUGAGUGAAGAAGGGUUUCGGAUCGUAAAGCUCUGUUGUAAGAGAAGAACGGGUGUGAGAGUGGAAAGUUCACACUGUGACGGUAUCUUACCAGAAAGGGACGGCUAACUACGUG
rnacentral:rRNA from 1 species